AUGCAUUCUCAAAACCCUCCUGGUACUGUUUCAAUAAUAACUUCCAGGAUAAGGAGAAAUGCAAAAAAAAAACACCACCAGUAGAGUUAUCCAAAAUGCAGUAUUAUUUUGUAAUUCUGCAUUAUUUCAGCUCUUCAACAAGU
rnacentral:snoRNA from 1 species